UACGAAGGUGGCUAGCGUCGCUCGGAAUCACUGGGCGUAAAGCGCACGUAGGCGGAUCUUUAAGUCAGGGGUGAAAUCCUGGAGCUCAACUCCAGAACUGCCUUUGAUACUGGGGAUCUCGAGUCCGGAAGAGGUGAGUGGAACUCCGAGUGUAGAGGUGAAAUUCGUAGAUAUUCGGAAGAACACCAGUGGCGAAGGCGGCUCACUGGUCCGGUACUGACGCUGAGGUGCGAAAGCGUGGGGAGCAAACAGG
rnacentral:rRNA from 1 species